GCAACCUGCCCCGAAGAUUGGGAUAACACCGGGAAACCGGUGCUAAUACCGGAUGUCCCCACCGGACCGCAUGAUCUGGUGAGGAAAUGGAUUCCGCUUCGGGAGGGGCUCGCGGCCUAUCAGCUUGUUGGUGAGGUAACGGCUCACCAAGGCUUCGACGGGUAGCUGGUCUGAGAGGACGAUCAGCCACACUGGGACUGAGACACGGCCCAGACUCCUACGGGAGGCAGCAGUAGGGAAUCUUGCGCAAUGGGCGAAAGCCUGACGCAGCAACGCCGCGUGGAGGACGAAUGCUUUCUGAGUUGUAAACUCCUUUCAGCAGGGACGAUUGUGACGGUAC
rnacentral:rRNA from 1 species